rnacentral:lncRNA from 1 species
UUUUUUUCUUUUUCCCCUUUUUUUGUUUUUUGUUUUUUUUUUGUUUUCUCUCUAUUUUUUUUUAGAUUGAAUCUGCACUUAUAGGAUUAGGCAAGUCCUGGUCAUCUCUUUCGAUCAGAAUCAAUAUUAUUUCAUAUAAGGUCUUCCCCAUAACUUCCACUUUCAUUUUGUAUUCGAAAGAUCUUCUUUGGCAUCAGGUUUCUCUCAUAGAGCCUUUUGGGGCGAAAUUUAACUAUGACGAGAAAAUUUUAGAUCUUCCUCUUCAAUUAG